rnacentral:rRNA from 1 species
AAUCUUGGACAAUGGGGGCAACCCUGAUCCAGCGACGCCGCGUGGGUGAUGAAGGCCUUCGGGUUGUAAAGCCCUUUCACCGGGGACGAUGAUGACGGUACCCGGAGAAGAAGCACCGGCUAACUCCGUGCCAGCAUCCGCGGUAAGACGGAGGGUGCUAGCGUUGUUCGGAAUCACUGGGCGUAAAGGGCGCGUAGGCGGCCAAGGCAGUCGGCUUUGUGAAAGCCCGGGGCUCAACCCCGGAGGUGCGGCCGAUACUCCUUGGCUGGAGGCCGGAAGAGGAGGGUGGAAUACCCAGUGUAGAGGUGAAAUUCGUAGAUAUUGGGUGGAACACCGGUGGCGAAAGCGGCUCUCUGGUCCGGACCUGACGCUGAGGCGCGAAAGCGUGGGGAGCAAACAGGAUUAGAUACCCUGGUAGUCCACGCCCUAAACGAUGUGGGCUAGGCGUCGGGGGGCUUGCCCUUCGGUGCCGCAGCUAACGCGUUAAGCCCACCGCCUGGGGAGUACGGCCGCAAGGUUA